rnacentral:rRNA from 1 species
AUUGAACGCUGGCGGAAUGCUUUACACAUGCAAGUCGAGCGGCAGCGCGGCCUUCGGGCUGGCGGCGAGCGGCGAACGGGUGAGUAAUGCAUCGGAACAUGCCCAGUCGUGGGGGAUAACACUUCGAAAGAAGUGCUAAUACCGCAUACGUCCUGAGGGGGAAAGCGGGGGAUCGCAAGACCUCGCGCGAUUGGAGUGGCCGAUGUCAGAUUAGCUAGUUGGUGGGGUAAAGGCCUACCAAGGCGACGAUCUGUAGCUGGUCUGAGAGGAUGAUCAGCCACACUGUGACUGAGACACGGCCCAGACUCCUACGGGAGGCAGCAGUGGGGAAUUUUGGACAAUGGGGGCAACCCUGAUCCAGCCAUUCCGCGUGAGUGAAGAAGGCCUUCGGGUUGUAAAGCUCUUUCGGCAGGAACGAAACGGUGGGCUCUAACAUAGUCCGCUAAUGACGGUACCUGAAGAAGAAGCACCGGCUAACUACGUG